AACUGUAGUCUAAUGGAUAGAACGUAGGACUCCGACUCCUAUAAUGCGGGUUCGAUUCCCGCCGGUUGC
rnacentral:tRNA from 1 species